AUUUUUAUGUUUUUCAAAAAUAACUAUCUUCAUGGGCCAUUAGUCCACAUGAUGUUAAAUUAAUUUUUUUAGGGAGAGAGUCCACCAUAGUAGCUUGCUAUUGGUUCUCUCGCGCAUUGCCCUAGCGUUGCACUAUAGCUCAGGGCUGGCGCACCCCAC
rnacentral:snRNA from 1 species